rnacentral:lncRNA from 1 species
CGACAAAGGUUCCAGGUGUUCUGAUCACGAGGGUUGAUUCCGCCAUCUACUUUUCCAACUCCAACUAUAUUAAGGAAAGGUAAGAGUUUCAGUCUUUUUUUUUUAAUUUUAAAUUCCAAUAUCUAGUCUUCUAUGCAUUUAGUUAUUUUCUAUUUACUUUUGAAUCAUUAAACAAAACAAGUCUAAAAUUCAUAAUAUUUGUCUAGCUAAGUUCAACUCCACCAUCUGCAGAAUAAAUGAUCCAUUAAAAUUAUAUUCUACUUUUUGUCUUGAAAUUAUAUGAAAUGCGACUUAUAUCAUAGACACGAGCUCCUGAUUUUACAAGAGAUCCCGAUACUUGGUGGUGCAAUCAUUUUGUCAAACAUCUAGUAUUCUUCAGCUGCAUAUAGAAAAGAACAGAUUUUUUUACUUUUUUGUAGAAUAUGCAGUUAUACAUACUAAAAAUGGAUCUACGGAUACAAAAAAGUGGAGAUAAAAAAUAGAGAUAGUGAGACAAAUGUGGUAAAAUUGAAUACGAAGAGGGUUUUAUAGAGGACAGUUUUUUCCGUGUGAUGACUCUCACCAUUGAGAUAAAAGCCCCUUCUUAAAUUUGAAUGUACUGUAGGUAAACUAGAACAAGGCUAUGGAUGCUAGACACUUCAAUUUAGUGUAAAAAUAUUGGCAAAAUUGAGUACAUGUGUCGGACUCUUCAAAGUACCCGUGUUUGACUUGGACACUCUAUCUGAGUCCAUGUAACUUGGAACUAAAUCAUUUCUUUAAAUAUAGUUGAAAAUGAGGCUGUGAAGAACCAUCAAUUGAAAAGCAUGAAUUUUGAUGAAUGACGACAGUCAUCUCAGAUAGAUCUUUAUUCUCGAGAUUAACUUGUACGCAGGAUAUUGAGAUGGUUAAAUGAUGAGGAAGAAAAUUUGAAAGCAGAACACCAACCAAACAUUCAAUUUUUAAUUGUAGAGAUGUCACGUAAGCAAUUUCUUACCUGUUUUUCCCUCAGUUAUAUUACCAUUUUGUUACUGUAUUUUCCUUGGACUAAAUCUCAUGAUUCUUCACCUUUGCAGCCAUUACAGACAUCGACACUAGCGGAAUCCAUGCUUUGGAAGAGCUGCACAGGAGUCUCCAAAAGAGAGAUGUUCAGGUAACUAUAAUUAGUACAUAGAUUUUAUUUACCUUGGCAGAAAGCUCAAAUCUUAGGAGCUAUGUUUCACAGACUCCGGAUGGAGUGUCUGGUUGGAUACGAUAUUUUGUAAAUUCCGACACGAGUGGUCCUCAAAUUUGUUAAUUUUACACUAAAAUAAAGUGUCCAGUACCUAGACCCUUAUAACUCGUUUGAGUGUUGGACAUGGAUACUUUAGGAAACAUUGCUUAUAAGAGAUGUUCGUGGAAAAAUUACCUUAUAAAAUCUUCUUGUUCACAGCUUGUUCUGGCGAAUCCCGGGCAAACAGUGAUUGACAAGUUACAUGCUUCUGGAUUCCCAAGUUUGAUUGGAG